rnacentral:rRNA from 1 species
AGAGUUUGAUCAUGGCUCAGAUUGAACGCUGGCGGCAGGCUUAACACAUGCAAGUCGAGCGGGGGAAGGUAGCUUGCUACUGGACCUAGCGGCGGACGGGUGAGUAAUGCUUAGGAAUCUGCCUAUUAGUGGGGGACAACAUCUCGAAAGGGAUGCUAAUACCGCAUACGUCCUACGGGAGAAAGCAGGGGAUCUUCGGACCUUGCGCUAAUAGAUGAGCCUAAGUCGGAUUAGCUAGUUGGUGGGGUAAAGGCCUACCAAGGCGACGAUCUGUAGCGGGUCUGAGAGGAUGAUCCGCCACACUGGGACUGAGACACGGCCCAGACUCCUACGGGAGGCAGCAGUGGGGAAUAUUGGACAAUGGGGGGAACCCUGAUCCAGCCAUGCCGCGUGUGUGAAGAAGGCCUUAUGGUUGUAAAGCACUUUAAGCGAGGAGGAGGCUACUUUAGUUAAUACCUAGAGAUAGUGGACGUUACUCGCAGAAUAAGCACCGGCUAACUCUGUGCCAGCAGCCGCGGUAAUACAGAGGGUGCGAGCGUUAAUCGGAUUUACUGGGCGUAAAGCGUGCGUAGGCGGCUUAUUAAGUCGGAUGUGAAAUCCCCGAGCUUAACUUGGGAAUUGCAUUCGAUACUGGUGAGCUAGAGUAUGGGAGAGGAUGGUAGAAUUCCAGGUGUAGCGGUGAAAUGCGUAGAGAUCUGGAGGAAUACCGAUGGCGAAGGCAGCCAUCUGGCCUAAUACUGACGCUGAGGUACGAAAGCAUGGGGAGCAAACAGGAUUAGAUACCCUGGUAGUCCAUGCCGUAAACGAUGUCUACUAGCCGUUGGGGCCUUUGAGGCUUUAGUGGCGCAGCUAACGCGAUAAGUAGACCGCCUGGGGAGUACGGUCGCAAGACUAAAACUCAAAUGAAUUGACGGGGGCCCGCACAAGCGGUGGAGCAUGUGGUUUAAUUCGAUGCAACGCGAAGAACCUUACCUGGCCUUGACAUACUAGAAACUUUCCAGAGAUGGAUUGAUGCCUUCGGGAAUCUAGAUACAGGUGCUGCAUGGCUGUCGUCAGCUCGUGUCGUGAGAUGUUGGGUUAAGUCCCGCAACGAGCGCAACCCUUUUCCUUACUUGCCAGCAUUUCGGAUGGGAACUUUAAGGAUACUGCCAGUGACAAACUGGAGGAAGGCGGGGACGACGUCAAGUCAUCAUGGCCCUUACGGCCAGGGCUACACACGUGCUACAAUGGUCGGUACAAAGGGUUGCUACACAGCGAUGUGAUGCUAAUCUCAAAAAGCCGAUCGUAGUCCGGAUUGGAGUCUGCAACUCGACACCAUGAAGUCGGAAUCGCUAGUAAUCGCGGAUCAGAAUGCCGCGGUGAAUACGUUCCCGGGCCUUGUACACACCGCCCGUCACACCAUGGGAGUUUGUUGCACCAGAAGUAGCUAGCCUAACUGCAAAGAGGGCGGUUACCACGGUGUGGCCGAUGACUGGGGUGAAGUCGUAACAAGGUAGCCGUAGGGGAACCUGCGGCUG